GAUGAAGAACGUAGCAAAAUGCGAUAAGUAAUGUGAAUUGCAGAAUUCAGUGAAUCAUCGAAUCUUUGAACGCACAUUGCGCCCGCUGGUAUUCCGGCGGGCAUGCCUGUUCGAGCGUCAUUUCAACCCUCAAGCCCCCGGGUUUGGUGUUGGGGAUCGGCUCUGCCUUCUGGCGGUGCCGCCCCCCGAAAUACAUUGGCGGUCUCGCUGCAGCCUCCAUUGCGUAGUAGCUAACACCUCGCAACUGGAACGCGGCGCGGCCAUGCCGUAAAACCCCAACUUCUGAAUGUUGACCUCGGAUCAGGUAGGAAUACCCGCUGAACUUAAGCAUAUCAAUAAGCGGAGGA
rnacentral:misc_RNA from 1 species